rnacentral:rRNA from 1 species
UACGUAGGGUGCAAGCGUUGUCCGGAAUUAUUGGGCGUAAAGAGCUCGUAGGCGGUCUGUCGCGUCGGCUGUGAAAACCCGAGGCUCAACCUCGGGCCUGCAGUCGAUACGGGCAAACUGGAGUGUUGCAGGGGAGACUGGAAUUCCUGGUGUAGCGGUGGAAUGCGUAGAGAUCCGGAAGAACACCGGUGGCGAAGGCGGCCUGCUGGGCAGUGGCUGACACUGAGGCGCGACAGCGUGGGGAGCAAACAGG